ensembl:snoRNA
GGAUUUAUAAUGAUCUGUGUUUACUGAGCAUGAUGAAGUAAAGUUCAAUAUGAUUACUCUGAAGUCU